GCAGUAGCCACGGGAAUACGUAGGGUGCAAGCGUUAAUCGGAAUUACUGGGCGUAAAGCGUGCGCAGGCGGUUAUAUAAGACAGAUGUGAAAUCCCCGGGCUCAACCUGGGAACUGCAUUUGUGACUGUAUAGCUAGAGUACGGCAGAGGGGGAUGGAAUUCCGCGUGUAGCAGUGAAAUGCGUAGAUAUGCGGAGGAACACCGAUGGCGAAGGCAAUCCCCUGGGCCUGUACUGACGCUCAUGCACGAAAGCGUGGGGAGCAAACAGGAUUAGAUACCCCCGUAGUCCCUGUCUCUUAUAC
rnacentral:rRNA from 1 species